CGGACCGGUGCCAGAAACACUGCCUCAGCAUUUAUACAUAUGUGCAUUUCAAACGAGGGUGCGUACAAUGCUGGAUUUGUUUCACGGCUCCUGUUGGAAAAAAAGGACCUAUUCCUAAAGUCCGUCAUCCACUCACUGAAGAGGGCAAAUCCCAGUUGCCCACAUGCAAGGAGGCUGUCAAACAGAGAAAUCACUGCAGACUGUUGGUACACAGACAUCUGCUGCCCAGCUCAGGAGUGAAGUACCUUUUUGUUUUGAUGAGGUGAUGGUGAGGACAGCCACAGCUUCCAUCUGGUAGAGGACUGCUUCCGCUCAGUCUUCCAAAUAGUGAUGAGAACAAGGAUCACCACAUCUCCCUGUUUACCCUACUUUCAUGCAUUUC